UACGUAGGUGGCGAGCGUUAUCCGGAUUUAUUGGGUUUAAAGGGUGCGUAGGCGGUUUGAUAAGUUAGAGGUGAAAUGUCGGGGCUCAACCCCGAAACUGCCUCUAAUACUGUUGGACUAGAGAAUAGUUGCGGUAGGCGGAAUGUAUGGUGUAGCGGUGAAAUGCUUAGAGAUCAUACAGAACACCGAUUGCGAAGGCAGCUUACCAAACUAUAUCUGACGUUGAGGCACGAAAGCGUGGGUAGCAAACAGG
rnacentral:rRNA from 1 species